GGAAUAUUGGGCAAUGGACGAAAGUCUGACCCAGCCAUGCCGCGUGGAGGAGGAAGGCCCUCUGGGUUGUAAACUUCUUUUAUUGGGGAAGAAAAGCACUGUUUCUACGGUGUCCGACGGUACCCAAGGAAUAAGCACCGGCUAACUCCGUGCCAGCAGCCGCGGUAAUACGGAGGGUGUAAGCGUUAUCCGGAUUUACUGGGUUUAAAGGGUGCGUAGGCGGGCUAGUAAGUCAGAGGUGAAAUCUCCAAGCUUAACUUGGAAACUGCCCCUGAUACUAUUAGUCUUGAAUAUCGAUGAGGUGGGCGGAAUACAUCAUGUAGCGGUGAAAUGCUUAGAUAUGAUGUAGAACACCGAUUGCGAAGGCAGCUCACUAACCGAUUAUUGACGCUGAGGCACGAAAGCGUGGGGAUCAAACAGGA
rnacentral:misc_RNA from 1 species